UCACUACAUUAAUGUAGCUCAUUUGAUAAGAUAUGCUUUUGAAAUUUUCUAUCCACCUUGCAAAACUCAUCCAUGCAAUCCCAAAGUGUUGGCCAAAAACUUGCCUGAGAAACCACCUUUAAACUUUCCCCCUCUCACUUUAAAUCAAUGCUGUCCAUUAUUUGACACAAACAAGAAAAAAAUCUGCAGAUGCUGGAUAUCUGAGCAACACACACAAAAUGCUGGAGGAACUCAGCAGGCCAGGCAGCACCUAUGGAAAAAAGUACAGUCAAUGCUUCAGGCCAAAGCGUAUCUGACACUGCCACUCUGGGAAAAAAGACUGACUUAUGCUUUUAUGUACCUCUAUCAGGUUACCCCUCAGGCUCCAACACUCAAAAAGCAUAAUUAGUCUAACCUCUCCUUGCAGCUAAUAUGCCUUAAUCCAGGAAGCAGCUUGGUGAAUCUCUUCUGCAGUAAAUGUCUGCCCAUAACUUAGUGAUGAGAAAACAAUAAGACUGUAAGACAUAGGAGCAGAAUUUGGUCAUUUGGCCCAUCAAAAUUCCACCUGUCAUUCGUAGAUGAUUUAUUUUCCAUCUCAACCCUCCCAUUCUGUCUUCUCCCAGUAACCUUUGAUACCUUUAGUAAUCAAGAGCCUAUCAACCUCUGCUUUAAAAGUACUCAAUGACUUGGCCUCCACAGAUGUGUGUGGCAAUGAAUUCCACAAAUUAACCACCAGCUAAAGAAAUUACUCCUUAUUUCUGUUCUAAAGGUACGUCUUUCUAUUCUGAGGCUGUGCCCUCUGGUCCUAUACUCUUCCACUAUUUGAAACAUCCUAUCUAUGCCCUCUAUUCUAGGCCUUUCAGUAUCCAGUAGGCUUUUCAUUCUUCUAUGCUCCAGAGAGUUAGAGCCCCAGAGUCAUCAAAUACUCCUUAUAUAUUAAUCUUUUCAUUCCUAGGAGAAUUUUCAUAAAUCUCCUCUGUGCCAUCUCUAAUGUCAGCACAUCCUUUCUUAGAUAUGGUGGCCAAAGCUGCUCACAGUAUUCUGAACAAGGUCCGAACAAUGUCUUAUAAAGCCUUAGUUUUACAUACUUGCUUUUAUAUCCUAGUCCUCUCAAAAUGAAUGUCAACAUUUAAUUUGCCUUCUGUACGACUGACUCAAACUACAAGUUAACCUUUAUAGAAUCUAAGACUUCCAAGUCACCUUGCACCUCCAAGUCAUGAGCUUUCUCCCAUUUUAUAAAAUAGUCUAUGCCAUUAUUCCUUCUAACAAGGCGAAUAACCAUACACUUCUCUACAUUAUUCCAUCCACUGCAUUUCUUUGCCCAUCUAAGUUCUUCUCCAGACUUCCUGCUUCCUCAUCACUAUCUGCCCCUCCAACUAUUUCUGUUUCAUCCACAACCUUGGCCACAAAGCCACCACUUUGUUCAUCUAGAUAAUUAGCAUAUAAAUGAGUAGCAGUGGACGUAACACUGACCUUCACGGAAUACCACUAGUCACUGCCAGCCUUUCACUCUUCGCCUCCUGCCAGUCAACCAAACUUCUAAUGCUAGUACCUUUCUUGUAAUACCAUGGACUUUUAUCUUGUUAAGCAGCCUCAUGUGUGGCACCUUGUCAAAGACCACCUGAAAAUCCAAAUGAACAACAUCCAUUGAUUCUCCUUUGUCUAUCCCGCUCAUUGUCUCCUCAAAGAAUCCCAACAGAUUUGUCAGGCAAGAUUUCCCUUAAUGGAAACCUUGUUGACUUUGGCCUAUUUUAUCACAUGCCUUCUACCUAAUCCUUAGUGACAGACUGUGACAUCUUGCCAAACACUGAGGUCAGGCUAGCUGACCAAUAAUUACUAAGCACCUUCUCCUUAGUAAUAGUGUCAAUUCUGUCCCCCGACAUCUUCAAAUUUUGGGCAUGCUGCUGGUGUUUUUUCCAUAGUGAAGACUGACACAAAAUACUAAUCACAAUACUCCAAAUGUGACCUCUGUCAAGUUUUAAAUUAUUGCAAUGUGGCUUCUCAACUUUUAUACUGAAAGAUCCAACUAAUAAAGGCAAGUAUGCUGUAUGCCUUCUUUGUCACACUGUCCACUUGUGACUCCAAAUUCCCAUUAUAUUCCAAUUGUCCUUGGCCUUCUCGACUGCCAUGAUAAGGUCACUCUCUUGUUGGAAGAGUGUUACCUCAUACUUUGUCUGGUUAGCCUCCAACCUGAUAACACAAACAUCAAUUUCUCUAACUUCUAGUAAUUGCAACCCUUCUGCCCCCCCCCCCACCCACCACUUUUCUUUUUCUAUUUCCUAUUCUGGCUGCCUGCUCACCGUUUCUCUUUUCUCCUCAACUGCCCAUAAAGUCCUUCUUGUGCCAAGUCCUCCUUUCUCUUCUUCCAUAGUCCACUAUCCUCUCUAUUACUUCUUCAUUCACUUAACUCUUCUACCCAACUCCUCCCAAAAUUUUACUUCAUGCCCCUCCCCCACCUACUUACCUUCUUCCUCACAUAGUAUCACCUAUCAUUUGCCAGAUUGUACUCUUCCCCUUCUAUCAACUUCUUAUUCUGGCUUCUGUCUUCUUCCUUUCCCAUCCUGCUGAAGGGUCUCGGCCCAAAAUGUCCACUGUUUAAACCCAUCCACUGAUGCUGCCUGGCUUGCAGAGUUCAUCAAGUAUUUUGCAUAUGCUGUUCAAAAUUUCCAGCAUCUGUUGUAUUUACGAUCCACUUGUGUUAUUACUUCUACAGGGUUAUGGACCUCAAUAUCCUUUUGUAUAUCAAAGGAACAGAACUUAAACAACUCUGCAUACAUCUGAGGAUUAUUAGAAAAUCUGUGGCCUAAACGACAAAUGGGAACUGGAAGUUCCAAAAAUGGAUCAGUAACCUGCUGUGGCCAUGACAUAAGUGAAUUAUUUGGUACCAACAUUUCAAAUCACCACGAUCUCAACUUGCUUUGAACCAAAAAUGCAGUGAACUUAGGGGUUCAGAGAGGCAAGCAACACCCACUAGAACGAACAGUUUUAAGAUUUCAUUUAGGAGGGCCUUGACAUCUAUAACCUCUGUUUUAAAUACAGCCAAUGACUUGGCCUCCACAGCUGUCUCAGGCAACGAAUGAAACUCCUCCUCAUCUCUCAUCUAAAUGGACAUUCCUCUAUUCCCUGACCCAGUAUAGGAAACAUCCUCUCCAUAUGCGCUCUAUCUAGGCUUUUCAAUAUUUGAUAGGUUUCAAUAAGACUCCUCCUUAUUCUUCUUCUAAGCUCCAGUGAGUACAGAGCCAUCAAAUACACCUCAUGUGUUAACCCUUUCUAUCCCAGAAUCAUUCUUGUGAACCACCUCUGGAUCCUGUCCAAUGCCAGCACAUCUUUGUUAGAUAAGGAGCCCAAAACUGCUCACAAUGCUCCAAGUGUGGUCUUAGGCCUUAUAAAGCCUCAGCAUUACAUCUUUGCACUUAUAUUCUAGUUCUCUUAAAUGGAGCUCAAAUAACAUUGAUCCUUAACAAUGACUCAACGUGCAAGUUAAUCUUUAGGCAAUCUCAUACAAGGACUCCCAAGUCACUUUGCACCCCUGAUUCUUGAAGUUUUGACCCAUUUAGAAAACAGUCUAGGCAAUUAAUCUUUCUACCAAAGUGCAUAACCAUUCAUAUUCAUACACUACAUUCCAUCUGCCUCUUCUUUUCCCAUUCUCUCUUCUUUUCCCAAUCUGUCUUCCCUGCUUCCUCAAUGUUACCUGACCCUCCACCUAUCUUCAUAUCAUCUGCAAACAUGGCCACAGAGCCAUGAGUUCUGUCAUCCAAAUCAUUGGCAUAUAAUAUGAAAAAAGCAGUCCCUACACUGAAAAUGGUGUGAAACACCACUGGUCACUGGCAGCCGACUGGAAAAAGGUCAGAAGUCCCUUUAUUCCCAGCCUUUGCAUCCUGCCAGUUAGCCAAUCUUCUAUUCAUACUAUUAUCUUUCCUGUAGUACCAUGAACUCUUACCUUGUUAAGCAGCCUCAUGUCUGGUAUCUUGUCAAAGGCCUUCUGAAAUUCCAAGCAAACAACCUCCACUGACUUUCCUUCAUCUAUCCUGUUCAUUAUUUCCUCAAAAAUUCCAGCAGAUUAGUCAGACAAGUUUUCCCCUUAAGGAAACCAUGCUGACAUUGGCCUAUUUUAUCAUGUACCUCUAAGUACUCCAAAAUUUCAUCCUUAAUAAUGGACUCCAACAACUUCUCAACCACUGAAGUCAGGCUACAGGUCUAUAGUUUCCUAUCUUCUACCUCCCUCCCUUCUUAAAGAGAGGUGAGGUAUUUGCAAUUUCCCAUUCCUCCUUAACUAUUCCAGAGUCUAGUGAUUCAUGAAAGAUCAUUACUAAUGCCUCCAGAAUCUCCUCACCUAUCUCCUUCAGAACCAUGGGGUGUAGUCCAUCUGCUUGAGGUGACUUACUUACAUUUAGACCUUUCAGCUUCCCAAGUACCUUCUCCUUAGUAAUAACAAUUGCACUCACUUCUGUCCCUGCACACUCUUGACUUUCUGGUAUAAACUAGUGUCUUCAACAGUGAAGACUGACUCAAAAUGCUUAUUAAGUUCAUCCACCAUUUCUUUGUCCCCCAUUACUGCCCCUUUCGUGUCAUUUUCUAGCAGUCAGAUAUCUAUUCUUGCCUCUCUUUGACUAUUUAUAUAUCUGAAAAAAAAACUUUUGGUUUUUUUUUAUAUUAUUGGUUUGUUUGUCUUCAUGUUUCAUCUAUUUGCUCCUUAUGGAUUUUUAGCUGUCUUCUGUUGGUUUUUAAAAGCCCAAUGUUCUUAGUUCCCACUACUUUUGCUAUAUUAUUUGCCUUCUCUUUUGUUUUUUUUUGCUGACUUUGACUUCUUUUGUCAGCCAUGGCUGCCUCAUCCUCCCUUUAGAAUAUUUCAUCAUUGGGAUCUAUCUAUCUUGUCAUCUUCGGUAUUGUCCCCAAAAACUCCACUAUUACAGUUCUGCAGUCAUCCCUGCUAGUAUCCACUUCAAUCAACUUUAACCAGCUCCUCUCUCAUGGCCCUGUAACUCCCUUUAUUCCACAGUUAUACAUCUGAUUUUAUUUUCUCCCUCUCAAACUUAAUGGUGAGUUCCAUUUGUAUUGUGUCCGCUGUCUUCUAAGGGUCUCUUUACCUUAAGCUCCCUAAUCAAGUUUGGUUCAUUACACAACACCAAAUCCCUUAUUGCCCUUCCUCUUGUGGGCUCAAGCACAAGCUUCUCUAAAAAGCCAUCUCAUCACUUUCUAUAAAUUCUCCCUCUUGUGAUCCAGCACCAACGUGAUUUUCCAAAUCCUCCUGCAUAUUGAAAUCCUCCAUGAGCAUUGUAACAUUGUCCUUUUUACAUGCCAUUUCUAUCUCCUGUUGUAAUUUGUUUCCCACAUCUAGGCUACUGUUCAGAGGCCUGUAGGCCCUCCCAUCGGAGUCAAUUUACCCAACUUUCUUAAAUCUACCCAACUAAAAAUCAAGGUCUCAGAAGCAAAAGGUACUCCAAGAGGACAGCAUGGCCUGGAUAAUAGGGUUUGUUAAUGACAGAUACUGUUUUCUUGUGGGGGUGCUUCUUGUUAAUAUGCUCAAUGAUGAGGAGUGUUUUGCCUUUGAUGGACUGGACUGUAUCCAUCACCUUUUAUAGGCAUUUCCAUUUCUGAGCUUUGGUGUUUCUAUAUCAGGCCAUGAUGCAACCAGUCAGGAUAUUCUCUGCUGUGAAUCUAUAGAAGUUUGUCAAAGUUUUAGAGGACAUAACAAGUCUACGUGUGCUUCUGAGAAAAGAAAAGUGCUUUUUUUGCAUUCUUUGUGAUGGCACUUAUGUACUGAUUCCUUAAAAGAAUCUUUGAUACGAUGAAGCCAAGGAAUUUAAAGUUACUGUCCCUCUCUGCCUCCAACUGCCUUAUGAGGACUGUCUCUUGAGCAUCCAGCUUCUUCGUCUUUUGGUGUUGCUUAUGUUGAAUGAGAUGUUGUUAUGGCAGCAUUCAACCAGAUUUUCAAUUGCUGUCAUAUAUGCAAUAUCCAGUGUCAAGAAAACAAAUAUCUUCCACAAAACUGCUCCCAUUAUAGAACACAUGCUCUCUGACAAUAAUGUCCCAUAUUGAAAUUAUGGAAAAUAUUAACUACAUCCCAUGUCACAAGGCCGACUUCUCAGAAAGACAGGCACUGAUGUUGAACAACAACAGUCCUGUUGAAGGGUCUCAGCCCGAAAUGUUGACAGUGUUUUUCCCUGUAGGUGCUGCCUGGCCUGCUGUGUUCCACCAGCAUUUUGUGUGUUGCACUGAUGUUGAAAUUAACUUUUGAAGUGUCUUGAAGCAACACCAUAACCUUCAACCAUAAGAAGAAAAAUAUGUUGGAAGAUCAUAGCCUUAAUUUUGCUGCAGUGUAUGUAAUCUGCUGGGCCGGACUCCUGAAGUUUCAUGUGUAUACAGUUUGCAUAUCAAAUCUGGAGAAAUGCCAGCAUCACUGACUGUAGAAAUUGCUCGUAACCACUGGAAGGUUAAGGGAACCAAUACCAGUCUCCUCUCCCAGGCUAAUGCAUCUAGUUCUGAAGCUCCAAUUACAUUCAGUCAGUUUUCCAUUCUGAGUCCUGUCUAUGGGAAGACGUCACUAGGCAGUCAUUGGAAAAUAUUUACAGCCCAUUCAGAAUGAAUAAUGGCAGUGGCUGAAGCAUUUUAUUGAACUAUCCAAACAACCAGAAUGCCUGGUCUGAAGCCAAGUCUCUAAUAAGGUUUGAAAAAGACUGAUGUAUUUUUUUGGGAAAAGGAGUGUUUUCGUUGAGAUGUGCAUUAAUGCUUCUGGCAUCUCUCCCUUCCCUACUCGUGGAGGAAAUUUCCUUUCCUCAUCAUCUGCAGCACACCAAGAAAAUGUUCAGAUUAUUCCUUGCUGUAGGUCUGCUAUCUUCUGCUGAAGUAUUUUCUCAGCCAUGAUGUGCAGCCUGGACUGGAUCUGUUUAUCAAUGACUAGGUGCAGAACAACUUCUGGUUGCAGCUGCUACCAUCUGAGAAAUGGAACUGCAGCAUAAAAGCCUGGACGAACAGGCUCCAGGACAGCUUCUUCCACCAGGCCAUCAGACUGCUUAAUUUGUGCUGACGCAACUGUAUUUCUAUGUUAUAUUGACUAUCCUGUUGUACAUAAUAUUUAUUAUAAAUUACUAUAAUUGCAUAUUGCAUAUUAGAACGGAGAUGUAAUGUAAAGAUUUUUACUCCUCAUAUGAAGAAUGUAAGUAAUAAAGUCAUUUAAAUUUAAUUUAAUUCAAGCAUGGUGAAGGACAGAAAGGUCAACCCCUUAUGGUAAAUGCACAUUUGUCACUCCAAGCUUUGAAAUAAGGUUGUUUUCCAAAGUUCCUGAGCAAUCAAUUGGGUGGAUUGUGCUUUGUGAGCUCUGUUUUUCAUUUCUAGCACCUUCCAGUUUCUUUCUUGAUGUUUACACCCACAAAAUGCUGGAGGAACUCAGCAGGUCAGGCAGCAUCUAUGGAAAGGAAUAAAGAGUCGACGUUUUGGGCCAAGAUCCUUCAUCUGGAUUGGAAAGGAAACCAGAACAAGAAGGUGGGAGGGGAAGGAGUACAAAAUAGAAGGUGAUUUGUGAAGCCAGGUGAGGGGGAUGAAGCUGGGAGGUGAUAGCGGAAAAAGAUGAAGGGGUGAAGGAGAAGGAAUCUGAUAGGAGAGAAGAGUGACAAUGGGAGACAGGAAAGAGGAGGAGGUAUUAGAUAGGGGAGAAGAAGAGAAGAGGUAAGAGGGGAGCCAGUAUGAGGAAUGGAAGAAUAGGGAAGGAGGGGGGAAAUUCCUGAUAGUGUUGUGUUAUCACCAGGUGCUGUUUCUGAGUAAACAAAGUAUUUAUGUUUAUGUGCGAACUGCUCUGUACAAUUAGAUUGACUAUGAUUGUGGUUAAAGUUAGUUCUUCAUUGCCCGUGUCAUGAAUUACUCACAUACUACCUCAUUUUAUUGUGGAAAACUACUAAAAAUGUUGGCAUUCAUUGUGCAAUAUAUCUGUUGCCAUAGCAAUAUUAUCAGUAUAAUAGAUUUGUCACAUACUUUUCAUUAUCUUCUCAUUAGACGUCACGGGACAAAUGCAUACCAUACUAUAUUAGGUAUUCCAUGAUGAGAAAAAUCUACUAUAAAUUUCCAUGGCCAACUUUACCAUGAACAGUGCUUCUACAAAUCUCUCAGCCCAAUCAAAAUUCAAAGAUCAAAUUACAUUUAUUAUCAAAGUAUGUAUACUAUGUACAACCUUGAGGCAGCCACAAAACAAAGACACCCAAUAGAAUCCAUUAAAUGAAAGACCCUCAAACACCCAAUGUGCAGGGAAAAAAAAACAAA